UGGGGAAUAUUGCACAAUGGGGGAAACCCUGAUGCAGCGACGCCGCGUGAGCGAAGAAGGUUUUCGAAUCGUAAAGCUCUGUCCUAUGGGAAGAUAAUGACGGUACCAUAGGAGGAAGCCCCGGCUAACUACGUGCCAGCAGCCGCGGUAAUACGUAGGGGGCAAGCGUUGUCCGGAAUCACUGGGCGUAAAGGGUUCGCAGGCGGAAAUGCAAGUCAGUUGUGAAAGGCAGAGGCUCAACCUCUGUACGCAAUUGAAACUGUAUUUCUUGAGAUGUGGAGAGGCAAGUGGAAUUCCUAGUGUAGCGGUGAAAUGCGUAGAUAUUAGGAAGAAUACCGGUGGCGAAGGCGACUUGCUGGACACAAACUGACGCUGAGGAACGAAAGCGUGGGUAGCAAACAGG
rnacentral:rRNA from 1 species